UUUCUUAAUUAAUUAUUAGGCUGUAUUAUGUUGAGCCUUUUAAUUAUCUGACUUAUAUUAUUACUUCAAGUCAUAUUUGUUUGGCCCGGUUAAUUAGACGCAGCUGCCCAAUUACGAUUAAUUCUUACGAGAUUACUAAGCGAAUGAGCCGACUUAGUUAUUUUCUUUUAAUCGAUUAAAUAGAGCGAGAUCUUUUAAUCCCAUUUAAGUUAGAACACCCUAAGAGAACGGAUUAAUUUUUAUUAAUUAUCCGGCUUCAUGAAACGAGACUUAGCUUUUGUUUAAAUCCGAUAGCUUGGAUUAACAAUAGAAACUCCUUGAUUACUAUUUCAGAAUAAUAAUUCAUGCAUAUAGAUCAUGCAUAGUUAAUUCUGUAUUCUCAUUAUUUGAGGAUUUUACUUGAGCAGUAUCUUAUUUAUAUUCUCGUAAUAAAGGUCAAGCACGAGAUUAAUAAUCAGUCAAGGAACUACUGUACCACAGAAAGUUUAUAUCAGGUUGAGCAGCUGCCGAUGGUGAUGAAGUGACGAGCGGGAUUCUUUUGUCUUAUUAUGUAUUAAUGAACUCUAGGGUUACAUGUCUUCAUACAUGUAAUCAGAAUCAUAUUCCGUUGCGUACUCAAAAGUUUUAUGCUAUUUUGAAUAAGUCAGAGAUAUCUGAACUUACUAGUUAUUUGAGUCUAUAUGACUAAACUUCUGUUAUAUGAUAAA